rnacentral:rRNA from 1 species
AGACACGGUCCAUACUCCUACGGGAGGCAGCAGUAGGGAAUCUUCCACAAUGGGCGCAAGCCUGAUGGAGCAACACCGCGUGAGUGAAGAAGGGUUUCGGCUCGUAAAGCUCUGUUGUUGGAGAAGAACGUGCGUGAGAGUAACUGUUCACGCAGUGACGGUAUCCAACCAGAAAGUCACGGCUAACUACGUGCCAGCAGCCGCGGUAAUACGUAGGUGGCAAGCGUUAUCCGGAUUUAUUGGGCGUAAAGCGAGCGCAGGCGGUUGCUUAGGUCUGAUGUGAAAGCCUUCGGCUUAACCGAAGAAGUGCAUCGGAAACCGGGCGACUUGAGUGCAGAAGAGGACAGUGGAACUCCAUGUGUAGCGGUGGAAUGCGUAGAUAUAUGGAAGAACACCAGUGGCGAAGGCGGCUGUCUGGUCUGCAACUGACGCUGAGGCUCGAAAGCAUGGGUAGCGAACAGGAUUAGAUACCCUGGUAGUCCAUGCCGUAAACGAU